rnacentral:rRNA from 1 species
GAUGAACGCUGGCGGCGUGCCUAACACAUGCAAGUCGAACGAAGCUCCCCGAAUUGAGUUUUCGGACAAGAGGAAGGGAUGACUUAGUGGCGGACGGGUGAGUAACGCGUGAGCAACCUGCCUCGGAGUGGGGGACAACAGUUGGAAACGACUGCUAAUACCGCAUAACGUGCAGAGGGGACAUCUCCUUUGCACCAAAGAUUUAUUGCUCUGAGAUGGGCUCACGUCUGAUUAGUUAGUUGGUAGGGUAACGGCCUACCAAGACUGCGAUCAGUAGCCGGACUGAGAGGUCGAACGGCCACAUUGGGACUGAGAUACGGCCCAGACUCCUACGGGAGGCAGCAGUGGGGAAUUUUGGACAAUGGGCGAAAGCCUGAUCCAGCCAUGCCGCGUGCAGGAUGAAGGCCUUCGGUUGUAACUGCUUUGUACGGUACGAAAGACUCCUUCUAAUAAAGGGGUUACGAUGACGGUACCGUAAGAAUAAGACACCGGCUAACUACGUAGCCAGCACG